rnacentral:rRNA from 1 species
CUACGGGAGGCUCCAGCAAGGAAUAUUGUGCAAUGGGCGAAAGCCUGACACAGCGACGCCGCGUGGGGGAUGAAGGCCUUCGGGUUGUAAACCCCUUUUCUCAGGGAAGAUAGUGACGGUACCUGAGGAAUAAGUCUCGGCUAACUACGUGCCAGCAGCCGCGGUAAUACGUAGGAGGCAAGCGUUAUCCGGAUUUACUGGGCGUAAAGAGGGCGUGGGCGGUUCAGUAAGUCGGAUGUGAAAUCUCCCGGCUUAACCGGGAUGAGUCAUUCGAUACUGUUGAACUAGAGUGCAGCAGGGGGAAGCGGAAUUCCCGGUGUAGUGGUGAUAUGCGUAGAUAUCGGGAGGAACACCAGUGGCGAAAGCGGCUUCCUGGGCUGUUUCUGACGCUGAGGCUCGAAAGUGUGGGGAGCGAACAGGAUUAGAUACCCGCGUAGUC